UUGAUCCUGGCUCAGAAUCAACGCUGGCGGCGUGCCUAACACAUGCAAGUCGAACGCGGUUAGUAGCAAUACUAACUGAGUGGCGAACGGGUGAGUAACUCGUGGGUGACCUACCUUCGAGUGGGGGAUAACGUCCCGAAAGGGACGCUUAUACCGCAUAACAUCCUGCCUUUGAACAGGCGGUGAUCAAAGCCGGGGAUCGUAAGGCCCGGCGCUUGAUGAGGGGCCCGCGUCUGAUUAGCUAGUUGGUGAGGUAAUGGCCCACCAAGGCGACGAUCAGUAUCCGGCCUGAGAGGGCGUACGGACACACUGGGACUGAGACACGGCCCAGACUCCUACGGGAGGCAGCUGUGGGGAAUUGUUCACAAUGGGCGCAAGCCUGAUGACGCAACGCCGCGUUGAGGAUGAAGGUCUUCGGAUUGUAAACUCCUGUUGCCCGGGACGAAAAGUCUCGACCUAAUACGUCGAGGUCUGACGGUACCGGGUGAGGAAGCCCCGGUUAACUCUGUGCCAGCAGCCGCGGUAAUAAGGU
rnacentral:rRNA from 1 species